UGGGGAAUUUUGGACAAUGGGCGAAAGCCUGAUCCAGCAAUGCCGCGUGUGUGAAGAAGGCCUUCGGGUUGUAAAGCACUUUUGUCCGGAAAGAAAUGGCUCUGGUUAAUACCUGGGGUCGAUGACGGUACCGGAAGAAUAAGGACCGGCUAACUACGUGCCAGCAGCCGCGGUAGUACGUAGGGUCCAAGCGUUAAUCGGAAUUACUGGGCGUAAAGCGUGCGCAGGCGGUUGUGCAAGACCGAUGUGAAAUCCCCGAGCUUAACUUGGGAAUUGCAUUGGUGACUGCACGGCUAGAGUGUGUCAGAGGGGGGUAGAAUUCCACGUGUAGCAGUGAAAUGCGUAGAGAUGUGGAGGAAUACCGAUGGCGAAGGCAGCCCCCUGGGAUAACACUGACGCUCAUGCACGAAAGCGUGGGGAGCAAACAGGAUUAGAUACCCUGGUAGUCCACGCCCUAAACGAUGUCAACUAGUUGUUGGGGAUUCAUUUCCUUAGUAACGUAGCUAACGCGUGAAGUUGACCGCCUGGGGAGUACGGUCGCAAGAUUAAAAGCUCAAAUG
rnacentral:rRNA from 1 species